UCCUCCUCACCUCAUUCUCCCGUGUUAUUCUUUCCCUAGUAACAAAUUGUAUUUUCUGUAUUAGAACAUGCUGUUGUACAGUAGACUCUCUAAAAAUUUCCCAGUUUCUGGCUUACCAAAUAAAGUAUACCAGAGCUCUAGGUAUUGCGGCCACCAUCUCCUUCUUAAAACUGCACCAGUGUCGCUAUUUUAUCCACUUUAAACUUUCAUUUACUGCAGCUGAUGGCAUUUGCAAUCCCAGUCAUGUCAUCACAUCCCUCCACACUGCAAUUGUCCAUUCGCAGGUCACAAAGAGGUGGUUGGCAUCUUCAAUAUGCUGCAGUUCACAUAAAACUCACCAAGCAUUGUCACAAUAUCGUCAUGAGUCAAGUAGAGCCUUCAAGAAGAAACAAAAAAGUGAAAAGCAAGAAACUCAUUAAUGCUGGGCUACUGAAAUAUUUGGCAGACAGAAAGAUUUUGUCAUUGACAAUGAAAAAUAGGGUUCCAGCUAUAUGGUCAAAUGGAGAGCAUCAACUAAAUUCAAGUGAAGAACAACAGAGCCCAAGUUUAGGAGCGCAAAGAGAAUGCUGCAAGAAAUGGUGGACUUCAUAGCACAAAUUCAACGUCAAAACCUAGGUUUACAACUUGAUCUUAACAUGAUGACAGAAUUUUGUGCUCGUUUACUGGGAGAAGCUGGCUCUGCACCACAAACAGCCAUCCAACCAAUGCAUUGCUCUUCUGUCAGUAGCAACCAUCAAGCCAUCGUUCUCAGUCCUAAUUGGCCAACUGUCGUGUCAAGAACGAGGACUUCUGGACUGAUGUUAAAUACUACAAAUAGAAAGAUAAAAGACACGAAAAAAGAGGGAUCUAUUGGUUGUCAUCUCAUUAGUUACUUUGCCACAUAAGUUGGGUGUAAAUUACACGCUCUUCAUAUUGUUGGUUGAUUGUUGUUGAAGGGUUUUAUAGAUACAUUUUUAAUAUUUCAUUUCAUCAUUUGGUUGUGAAGUGUUAAGUCAAAGAAUGUGCUUUUGAAUGGCAUCUUAAUUUGGUGCAGUUCUACUGUAGUUAAAUGGUGUCUUUGAUUGUUGCAUCACUUCACGCUUGUUGAAUUGUCAACUCGCAGUGAACUUCAACCAACUAAUUCUUAAAAUCAUACCAGACACUAAAAUUUUACAUAAAAUAGGAGAGGAUACGUUUCCAACUUUGACGCUAAAGGCCAAAGAGGAUAAAUAGAUUAAUCAUGUAUGCUUAUUUUCAAGAGUACACUUCUAGCAGCAAGUAGAUAAGCAAGUAGUAAUGCAUAGAGAAAUUGCACAUGAACUAAACACACUCCUAGAACUAUUUCAUGUCAGUUUCCAAUACUGUAUAUUCCCUAAGAACUUUGGUAAGACUUGAGGAACACGAAAAUAACCUUUUAUCUGAUGAGGCAAAAGAAAACUACAAGACUUUGUAGUGGAUUACAACAUAUGGGAACAUGUCAAAGCACCGGAACAUAAGUUAUUUAGGCUGAUGUCAAUAAUCAAACAUGUGCACACACAAAAUGACCAAAAUAUAAAAUCCAUAACAGCAAGCUCCUUUCUACAUCUUAAUUACCUCAUUUGUUUCUUUGAAUUUAAGGUCGCAUUUAUUACAAACUUUAAUUCACAUAGUUCAAUCAUUCCUAAUACUAUAUGAGUUGUAAUGAGAAUACUCCAAUCAUAAGAACAACCCUUUUGCUAUCAGUAAAGGCUAAACUGAUAUGAAAGAAUUCUGAAGAAAACUUUUUCUUUUGCUAUUUAAAUUGAGGAAAUAAACAAAAACUUUAGAACUAUAUUUAUCCCUUCUUUCUUCUGUUUUUAAGGUCCUACAGCAGAGAGAAGUUUUUGUAUUACUUCGAUAAAACACAGUAUAUCACAAUGGUGUAGAAUUCAUUUGUUCAACUAUCUAUAGAUGAUUCAUUUAGACGGUUAGAUUUUCAUCAUGGCCCUUCUAAUUGCUUAUGCUGCUCCAACAGUUCAAAUGAAAUCAUGAACCACCAAUUCUUUGAAGGAGGAAUGACUUGCAAUUGGAUCCAGAAUGUUAAGUGUGCAUGGAAAGAAGAAUAAACCAUACUUCUCUAACAAUUAAAUUAAGGCUUAAAUUAAUAGCCAAUCAUUCUAGUAAAAAAGUGACCAUAUCUCUCUUUGUCUCUCCCCAAUGAGUGUGUGGAGAUAUGUCACAGUGCACCACCUACACCUUCCUCGAGACAUAUAGGACAGUCUUCAAGUUCAUCCAUAUCUAUAGAAUCCUAGUAAAUUGAAUAACUUUGUCCAGUUAUAGAGAAUUUUAGCAACAGAAUGGCCACAUCUUUUGGUCGAGAACAUCCUUAAACUGUGCCAAGAACCUAUAAUAUCCUUUAAGUAUCCAUGUGAACAAAUGAUAUCCAUAAAGGUUAUCAAAGUCGGCAGAUUUUUCAUUUUGUUUUCUCUGAUAAUACCUGAAAAAUACAUAAGAAUUAGAAAAGUCUAUUACAUGCUUAGAAAAAAUAUCCAUCACAACUAUUUGGGAAGGAGCGCAUCCAUCUCUUAGCGACAAAUGCAUCCAGAAUCUCUCAAACUUACCCAUAUCUGGCUCUGAGACAAUUGAAUAACAAUAAAGUGGAGGCUCCAACGAGCAUUGCUAAGAGGGAUAUAAUUAUGUGAUAUUAUGCAAUCAUUAAAAAACCAGCAUGGAACAAUUAAACAACUAAAGAGGAGCAUUUUAACUAACAUUGCCUCCAACAUCUUCUGUAAAUGUUGACUAAAGAUUUACUUGGAAGUUCAUGUAUUUAUAAUCUCUUUAAUUUAGUCAGUCAAUAACAUAAAGCUAUUCUCCUUGAUAUAAGCACGCAAUAUCACCAGUAUGAAGCCAAUUAUAUAUUGUAACGUAAACAUUAUUUAAGUGUUCAUGAAAAUUAAAUGCCAAAGACAAAUUCUUUUAUUUGUUUAGAAAGCCCAAAUAGCAACGCCGAAAUAUUUAGAGAAAAGAUUUACCUUCUGGCCAUUGGCUGCUACAAAAGUAGAGACUGCAAAAAUGAAUGGAAAGAUUUAUUUUCUGCGUGUUGGCUGCUAUAGAAGUGGAGAUGAUGCAAAAAGGAAGCAGUCUGCUGAUGGUUGUUAGGAGAUUUGAUUCUUUUUCAUCAUUGCUGCUGGAACAUCAACUCUUCAGUUUGACAGUAAAAUUUGGAAAUAUAUAUGUCCAGGCUAUGAAGUUUGCUCAGCACAUUUGCCAUAUUUUGAACAAACAAGCUUUGGGCAGAAGCACUAUAUGUGAAUGCUUAGUAUUAUCUAAAAAGAUCAAAUCAGAAAAAUGAUGAAGGCUUAUCAACAUUCUGAAAAAAAGAGAAGAACGAUGAAGCUAAACAGAGAAGUAGGAUUAUCAAGGGAAUUUCCUUUGUGUCGACUGGAUAAAUUAAAAAUGCUGCAGAUAGAAUAUGAACCAUGUAAAU